ACGGGAGGCAGCAGUAGGGAAUAUUGCACAAUGGGGGGAACCCUGAUGCAGCCAUGCCGCGUGUGUGAAGAAGGCCUUCGGGUUGUAAAGCACUUUAGUUUGCGAGAAAGGGUGAUAAUCGAAAAGGUUAGCACUUUGAUGUUAGUAAAAGAAUAAGUACCGGCAAACUCCGUGCCAGCAGCCGCGGUAAUACGGAGGGUACGAGCGUUAAUCGGAAUGACUGGGCGUAAAGGGCACGUAGGUGGGUAAUUAAGUUACAUGUGAAAGACUCGGGCUUAACCUGAGAACUGCAAGUAAAACUGGUAAUCUAGAGUACAGUAGAGGGGAGUAGAAUUCCAAGUGUAGCGGUGAAAUGCGUAGAGAUUUGGAAGAAUACCGGAGGCGAAGGCGACUCUCUGGACUGAUACUGACACUGAAGAGCGAAAGCGUGGGGAGCAAACAGGAUUAGAUACCCUGGUA
rnacentral:rRNA from 1 species